GCUUAAGGGCGCAGGUAGUUUUCUUCUUGGUCCUCCCAGUUGCAGGUCAUGGGUACAGGGGGGAUAGAUGCAUAGAAGAAGUAAACAGAAGAUUCCAGCAAUGGUGCUACCGUGAUAGCUUCGGUUUCUUCGACCAUAGCAUGCACCUCAGGGACUGUGGCCUGUUGGGAAGAGAUGGUAUCCACCUCAUGCCAAAGGGGAAGAAGCUUUUCUUGGCUAGAAUGGCGGACCUUCUGGAUAAGGCAUUAAACUGAGAUCAUUGGGGGAUGAGUCAUCAACCACUAGCACAAGCCCAAGAAAUGGCAACCUUGAAACCAGCAUCUCAGGGUACAAUAGGAAACAUUCUCCGACACCAGCCAAUGGACAGGUUAUUCCACAGCUCACCAGGAAGCUUAGGGCCUCCAGUGGCAGGCUUAGCUACCUGUACACUAAUGCCAGAAGCAUGGGAAACAAGCAAGAGGAACUGGCUCUCCUCCUAUCCAACAACCAAUAUGACCUCAUAGAGAUUACAGAGACCUGGUGGGACUCCAUCUAUGAGUGGACCACAGGCAUAGGGGGAUACACCCUAUAUGGAGGGAUCCUGGAGAACCUGCUCAUAAACAGACACUCAGACCCCACAGUCAAGGACUGUACUAAAAUGGGACUAAGUGAAAUGUACCGCUACUACAGGCAGACAAAAGAGGAUGACGGGAAGGAAAUGGUGGACCCCAUAUGGUGGAGAGUGGUUUGGCAUAGACUUUUUCAGGGGCAGGCCCUCUGAGGAUGGCAGUGGGUGAAGGUACAGGUAUGGAGAUGGGUGCGCGGGCACGCAGAUAUGUGGUGCAAACUGUGUAACGGAUUUUUAG